rnacentral:lncRNA from 1 species
ACACUGCUCUUCAAUGUUGAACCAGCAUGUUCAAGGACAUCGACAACAACAGUACACGCAAGCUUCUCCUUCUGACUUGGAAUGCGGGAGCAUAUUACUCGUACAGAAGCUAUUGUGUAAGGGAAUUCAUCUUUUAUUAGGGCAUUGGGGGCACAGUUAGGAAAACUUGCUUUGGGGAAAUAACACUGUAAGUCUAUCACUCUUACGAGUUGUAAACAAACUGACAAGCCGACUACAGACUCACUGUAGCACCUCAAGAUAUUG